AAAACUAGUUUAUUUAAAACAUUUAGUUGCAAACUAAAAAAAAUACUUUUAUGUUUUU
rnacentral:tRNA from 1 species